rnacentral:rRNA from 1 species
AGGAUGAACGCUAGCGAUAGGCCUAACACAUGCAAGUCGAGGGGCAUCACAUGAAGUAGCAAUACGGAUGGUGGCGACCGGCGCACGGGUGAGUAACACGUAUGCAACCUGCCUUCAACAAGGGGAUAACCCGUUGAAAGACGGACUAAUACCCUAUAACACAGGGGCCCCGCAUGGGGAUAUUUGUUAAAGAUUAAUCGGUUGAAGAUGGGCAUGCGUUCCAUUAGCUAGUUGGUGGGGUAAUGGCCCACCAAGGCAACGAUGGAUAGGGGAACUGAGAGGUUUAUCCCCCACACUGGUACUGAGACACGGACCAGACUCCUACGGGAGGCAGCAGUGAGGAAUAUUGGUCAAUGGACGCAAGUCUGAACCAGCCACGUCGCGUGAAGGAAGACGGCCCUACGGGUUGUAAACUUCUUUUGCAAGGGAAUAAAGUGAGUCAUGUGUGACUUUUUGCAAGUACCUUGCGAAUAAGGAUCGGCUAACUCCGUGCCAGCAGCGGC